rnacentral:rRNA from 1 species
UUUACCCUGCUGAACUUAAGCAUAUCAAUAAGCGGAGUAUAUUAGAAACCAACAGGGAUUGCCAUAGUAACGGCGAGUGAAGCGGCAACAGCUCAAAUUUGAAAGCUGGCCUUCGGGUCCGCGUUGUAAUUUGCAGAGGAAGCUUUGGGCGCGGCGCUGUCUGAGUCCCCUGGAACGGGGCGCCAAAGAGGGUGAGAGCCCCGUAUAGACGGAUGCCUAGCCUGUGUAAAGCUCCUUCGACGAGUCGAGUAGUUUGGGAAUGCUGCUCAAAAUGGGAGGUAAAUUUCUUCUAAAGCUAAAUACCGGCCAGAGACCGAUAGCGCACAAGUAGAGUGAUCGAAAGAUGAAAAGCACUUUGAAAAGAGGGUUAAAUAGCACGUGAAAUUGUUGAAAGGGAAGCGCUUGUGACCAGACUUGCGCCGGGCUGAUCAUCCGGUGUUCUCACCGGUGCACUCUGCCCGGCUCAGGCCAGCAUCGGUUCUCGCGGGGGGAUACAAGGCUUAGGGAAUGUAGCUCCUCCGGGAGUGAUAUAGCCCUCUGCGUAAUACCCUCGCGGGGACGCGAGGUCUGCGCUCUGCAA